CCUACGGGAGGCAGCAGUGGGGAAUCUUGCGCAAUGGGCGAAAGCCUGACGCAGCCAUGCCGCGUGAAUGAUGAAGGUCUUAGGAUUGUAAAAUUCUUUCACCGGGGACGAUAAUGACGGUACCCGGAGAAGAAGCCCCGGCUAACUUCGUGCCAGCAGCCGCGGUAAUACGAAGGGGGCUAGCGUUGCUCGGAAUUACUGGGCGUAAAGGGAGCGUAGGCGGAUAGUUUAGUCAGAGGUGAAAGCCCAGGGCUCAACCUUGGAAUUGCCUUUGAUACUGGCUAUCUUGAGUGUGGGAGAGGUUAGCGGAACUCCGAGUGUAGAGGUGAAAUUCGUAGAUAUUCGGAAGAACACCAGUGGCGAAGGCGGCUAACUGGCCCAUUACUGACGCUGAGGCUCGAAAGCGUGGGGAGCAAACAGGAUUAGAUACCCUGGUAGUCCACGCCGUAAACGAUGAGUGCUAGUUGUCGGCAUGCAUGCAUGUCGGUGACGCAGCUACGACAUAAGACACUCCGCCGUCGGGAGGUACGGUCGCGAAGAAUUAAACUUAAAGUAAGUAGUAGACGCGAGAGAGCGACGACGACGACGACGGAGGAGGAG
rnacentral:rRNA from 1 species